AUAUUUCCAAAGUACAUACAAUAAAAUUGGAUCGAUAGAGAGAAGAUUAGCAUGGCCCCUGCGCAAAGAUGACACUCAAGAUCGUUAAGCGUUCCCCAUUUUC